UACGGGGGGAGCAAGCGUUGUUCGGAUUUACUGGGCGUAAAGGGCGCGUAGGCGGUCAGUGCAAGUCAGUUGUGAAAUCUCCGGGCUUAACUCGGAAAGGUCAACUGAUACUGCUCGACUAGAGUGCGGAAGGGGCAACUGGAAUUCUUGGUGUAGCGGUGAAAUGCGUAGAUAUCGAGAGGAACACCUGCGGCGAAGGCGGGUUGCUGGGCCGACACUGACGCUGAUGCGCGAAAGCUAGGGGAGCGAACGGG
rnacentral:rRNA from 1 species